AUGAAUUGCAAAGAAAAGUCUGCAUUACAAUCUCAGCACAUGGCUCACAUCAGUUGGAAACCGGCGCAAGAGGACUUCAUUACUCCCAAUGUGGAUGGCGUUGCAAAGAGCAGUGGCAGAGCUGGUUGUGAGGAACGUGGAUUGGAGGAUUUUCCAAGAAUAUUGGAGUAUGUAGCGCCUUUAUUGCAGAAUUGUUGGAAGAGGUUUUUUCAGGAUUGA